rnacentral:lncRNA from 1 species
CCAGAUCCUAGAGGAGAAGCCCUUCUGCCAGAUGAGACUGAUGCAAAACGGUUUGAUAUAUGUGAUCCCACCCCCUCAUUUCACAGACGAGGAAGUUCAGCCCCAGAAGGGGAAGUGCCUCUCCCCAGAGUAAGGUGGUGACCAUGCUGGGAAAUGACAUCUCACACCUCGCUCAGCUGCACUGGACUCCCAGGAGGUAACAGCCCCCAGGCGGCUCAGAAAACCCGAUGCACCCGGAGUCCACCCACUGACGUUGGUCUCGGGGACCGCGAGGUGACUUUCCUUCGGGGCCUGGGCUCCAUCGGCAACUGCCCCGACUCGCCUGGCCGUCUUAGACGUCAGGGACAGCAGCAGCCCCCCCGGGCAGCCUUCGUGACAGCAGCAGCAGCAGGGGAGGACUGGUCUGUCCCUGAUUGCAGGGCUCACCACUGCCUCCCCAGAGAAAACUGGAAUUUCAGGCGAGGAUGCUCCUCCUGCCAUGACACCCCUUCAGCUGUCCUGAUGCCGCUCUGCCACCAGCUGGCCCUCCCACCUCUGAGUUGGCUCACACCUCUGCUCUCUGUGUGGAUGAAGGAUCACGGCAGCACAAGAGAAGCUUCUUAGCCUGCAAACCACCUAAGGUUGCAUUUUUCCCAUUGCUGGUGUUUUCUGGAAAAGCCAGGACUUUCCAGAAGUGUGUGGCUUGGUCUGAGCCACACAGCUGGGUUUAGAUGCUCUUGCUGUGGAGACAUGGGAUCAGGGCUGCCCCAAGAGGGGUGCUGGGUCCUUGAAGGUGUGGGUAGCUCUGGGUCCUGACAGCUGCAAGAAUCACAGCCCAGCGUGGGGUCGAGUUGGCAGUCAGAGAGCCACCAUGGGCCCCUGUCCCCAGAGCUGGGCGGUGCUGUGUGGAUGAGAGAAGCCAGACAGACCAGAAAGAGGCCCCACAGCCAGAGAGAAGCAGAAGCAGAGCAGGGGCCUCAGGGCUCCCAGGCCCAUCCUCUUUCAUGUACAAGAUGUUUCCUCUCUUCACCAAACAUUAGAAAAACACAUAUUGCCAGAAUAUUCUAUCUCAGCCUUUUUUUUUUUUAAGCCUUUCACAUAUGUGGAUUUUUUUUUUUAUAUAACAUUCCAAAUAAACAGAUAUUCUGCCUCUGCCUGCA